rnacentral:rRNA from 1 species
GAUGAACGCUAGCGGGAGGCCUAACACAUGCAAGCCGAGCGGUAUUGUUUCUUCGGAAAUGAGAGAGCGGCGUACGGGUGCGUAACACGUGUGCAACCUGCCUUUAUCUGGGGGAUAGCCUUUCGAAAGGAAGAUUAAUACUCCAUAAUAUAUUGAACGGCAUCGUUUAAUAUUGAAAGCUCCGGCGGAUAGAGAUGGGCACGCGCAAGAUUAGCUAGUUGGUGAGGUAACGGCUCACCAAGGCGAUGAUCUUUAGGGGGCCUGAGAGGGUGAUCCCCCACACUGGUACUGAGACACGGACCAGACUCCUACGGGAGGCAGCAGUGAGGAAUAUUGGUCAAUGGGUGCAAGCCUGAACCAGCCAUCCCGCGUGAAGGUCGACUGCCCUAUGGGUUGUAAACUUCUUUUGUAUAGGGAUAAACCUACCCUCGAGAGGGUAGCUGAAGGUACUAUACGAAUAAGCACCGGCUAACUCCGUG